rnacentral:rRNA from 1 species
CAGUCGCCGCGGUAAUACGAGGGGGGCAAGCGUUGUUCGGAAUUAUUGGGCGUAAAGGGCGCGUAGGCGGUUUGGCAAGUUUGGUGUGAAAUCUUCGGGCUCAACUCGAAGUCUGCAUCGAAAACUGCCGGGCUUGAGUAUGGGAGAGGUGAGUGGAAUUUCCGGUGUAGCGGUGAAAUGCGUAGAUAUCGGAAGGAACACCUGUGGCGAAAGCGGCUCACUGGACCAUUACUGACGCUGAGGCGCGAAAGCUAGGGGAGCAAACAGGAUUAGAGACCCCGGUAGUCCCUGUCUCUUAUAC